rnacentral:rRNA from 1 species
GUAAAGCACUUUCAGUCGUGAGGAAGGUGGUAGUGUUAAUAGCACUAUCAUUUGACGUUAGCGACAGAAGAAAGCACCGGCUAACUCCGUGCCAGCAGCCGCGGUAAUACGGAGGGUGCGAGCGUUAAUCGGAAUUACUGGGCGUAAAGCGCAUGCAGGUGGUUUGUUAAGUUACAGAUGUGAAAGACCCGGGGCGUCAACCUCGGAAUAGCAUUUGAAACUGGCAGACUAGAGUACUGUAGAGGGGGGGUAGGAAUUUCAGGUGUAGCGGUGAAAUGCGUAGAGAUCUGAAGGAAUACCGGUGGCGAAGGCGGCCCCCUCGGACAGAUACUGACACUCAGAUGCGAAAGCGUGGGGAGCAAACAGGAUUAGAUACCCUGGUAG